AUUGAACGCUGGCGGCAGGCCUAACACAUGCAAGUCGAGCGGAUGAAGGGAGCUUGCUCCUGGAUUCAGCGGCGGACGGGUGAGUAAUGCCUAGGAAUCUGCCUGGUAGUGGGGGAUAACGUCCGGAAACGGGCGCUAAUACCGCAUACGUCCUGAGGGAGAAAGUGGGGGAUCUUCGGACCUCACGCUAUCAGAUGAGCCUAGGUCGGUUAGGCUAGUUGGUGGGGUAAGGCCUACCAAGGCGACGAUCCGUAACUGGCCUGAGAGGAUGAUCAGUCACACUGGAACUGAGACACGGUCCAGACUCCUACGGGAGGCAGCAGUGGGGAAUAUUGGACAAUGGGCGAAAGCCUGAUCCAGCCAUGCCGCGUGUGUGAAGAAGGUCUUCGGAUUGUAAAGCACUUUAAGUUGGGAGGAAGGGCAGUAAGUUAAUACCUUGCUGUUUUGACGUUACCAACAGAAUAAGCACCGGCUAACUUCGUG
rnacentral:rRNA from 1 species